CUCGCCAUGUAUGGCGCUUCCUCCCCGUGCCCUACAAGGCACUUCCUCCCGGUUCUAGGCCCAUACAAGGCCCUUCCUUCCCGGAGCGUCUGGCAGACGGCCCGCGGGCGGCUGUGGGCGGGAGCCAGCGGCCAGGGGAUCCGCUGCCAAGGAGGGGGCGGCUGGCGGCGCUGGGAACGCGCGGCCUGGCCUCUUCGCGGCCGGGCCUGGCUGAGGAACCAGCAAGUCCUCACAGGCCCUUCCAACAGCACCUCCAGAGAUUAAACGUGGUCCAACCAAGUGGUUACCCUCAUCUACCUGCCUGGAGAUGAGCACAGGUCUGAGUGAGGGACCAGACCUCAGUACAGACCAAACCAGCAGCAGCAGCUAAAAUGCCACCCUCCAGCUCUUCAGAAGUACGACACAUCAUCAGCUGCAGGCUUUCUGUUGGACGAACCUGUGAGACCCCGACUCUUCUGCUUCAGGUGCUGGAUCAAUUACAGGGAUCUUGUACAGAGUCCAAGGGAGCUCCUUUUAUCCACUCUGAACUGUAGUUGUGCUCGGUUGACCAGUCAAAAUGCUGUGUUGGGAGGACAGAAUUGCUAGAUGGGUGCCUUCCAGAUGAAUCUGAGCUGUUGGUUGUCUCUGAAAGCACAAGGGUUGGUGAGGAAUAAAUCAGAAGAUGACCAGAAAAACCAGCCCCUACUUUCUUUGAAAUCACACUACAUUUUGAGACCACGUAUGGGAAUUCACUAAACCAGGAGCUGCCACCAGACCAUAAUGAUUCUAUCUAAAAAUGGUUUGUUUUCAAAGAGAAAAAAAGACCCAGAAAAGCACAGGGGAGUGUUUUUUAAUAAAUGCCCAGAAUUCUGUCAA